AAUAACACUUCAGGUAGAAGCAAAAUCUGCAAGGAGUAACUGCUGGCACAGCUGUUUGGAUACAUGCAUAUCAAGUUGCUACUCGUGGUUGCAAGUUGCAACUAAGGUAGAAGACAUGCUAUCCAAACUGGAAGAUUGACUGGCCAGAACAGCUGGGGCUAUUCUGCUAUGAUAAAUGGUAACUUUGAGUCUGCAUGAUUUCAAAGAAUUGGCAGGAGAUGAUAAUGUAUGCCUUUAGUAUUUUGGUGUUUGAUUGUGUCACUGGAUUGCGGAACUUACUCUCUUUGCCGUAGACUAAUAUCUUGAUUUGGCAGGGAUAAACUAUUGUGCCGACAGAGUAUAUGGCAGGUAGAUAUGCUUUUCAUGGGGCCCUGAGGAAAUAGAGAAAAAAGGUAUAUGCUACAUUGUUCUGGUAUUUGUAGGUGGCUAAUAAAUUCGUGCUUCGAUGAACAAUUAUUAUGUAGAUGUGUGUUUGUACCUAUGUCUGAAUACGUCUAGGUACAGAUGGAUGUUGUUUCAAUUAGCUUGUGGGUCACUCUUGAUGGUUGAUGCUGAUCAAGUUUUCAGGAUUGUGUUCUCUGCUUCACAAAUUGCUGACAAAUAUUUAUGGUGCUCUAGAAGUUGUGCAUGAUAAUGGUGGGAGGGGGAUCCACUACCAUCGGGAAGGGGACUGUAAGAUGAGAGGCUCUUUGUUCCUUGUCUCUUCCAAGAAGAUGAGUUCCACCAUGCAGCCCAGGUACAGAUUCAAAGUUCUCUCCCAAAGAUAACAUGGUCAUCCUGAUGACCUAUGAACCUCGUGUGUCUGCUCUAUGAGAGAGUAGGAGAGUUGGUUUGAGGAUACAAAACAUUAGGCUUUGCCUUAUAAUAUUUACCUAGCAAGAUUUCAAAUAUAAGUUGGAUUGGCAUGUAUCAAUUGGUAUUUGUUGGCCCAACAAAGUAGCAAAACCUGUAUAUGAUUCGGAAGGAGCUCUGUGUUUGUACUCUUAGUAAGCUCGUCUUAGUUAU
rnacentral:lncRNA from 1 species